rnacentral:lncRNA from 1 species
GAGCCUUUGGUUCUAACUAAUUUUAUGGUAGUUAUUUUAGCUGAAUAUUACACACAUAUUCUUGUAAGUCUCUUGAUCUGUGGCUAUAAAUAGGACCAGGUCUGAUACGUGAAAGGGUGUGGGCAAGAAAAUGUGGGGAGCACAUUUUCUGUAGAGAGUGAAAGUAGGAUUGAGAGAGAAAGCUCUCUGCAGGCAAUCCUUGUAAACUUUCUAGAAACUUUCAGGUUAUUCCCGGUUGGGUGAUGAGUGGUGUUGUUUUGUGUAAGAUAAACACUGUAAUAUUUCCUCUUGUAAUGGCAAAUUGACUAGGGGUUAAAUUCCCUGCAUUGGUUGAUGAAAUUUAGUCCCUAAAACAAGCCAUUCUUGUGUCCAUUUAUCUCAGUUCUUUGCUAGUUUUAUAUCCUGCCAUUGCUGAGUGUCUUUUCUUGUCAUUGCAAAUGUGAUAUGAUCAUUGUUUCCUGGGACAUGGGAGAUUGGUAAAAAUCCUAACACCCAAGAAGCUAUGAAGAAAGUAGUCCAUCAUUGUUAAUCCAUGGCUGGUGCAACGGAUUUGGCCUCCUUUUUCCCUCAUCAUCUUCGAUUUCCUCUUCUAGUUUUUCACCACUAGCAAGAUGUUAAAAACCAAAACUACUGAUUAAGGGAGUGACUUGAGAACUCCAUAAGAGUAGGUUUGAUGUGCUUAGUUUAACUGAAAUUAAGCUAGAGCACUGGUUGAAGGCUUGAAUUCCAAGAGUGGGUUCUUUAUUUUGGUUGGAAGAUGAAGACAUAAUCUCAAAGCUUGCAGGUUUUUGGCUCUGAUACCAUGAACAAUUUGUAGAAUAAUUAGAAUUGGAAGCUCAAUCUUAAUUCAUUGAUCUUCAACUACUUAUAUACGAAAAAUACAAGACAAAUCUUAUAUGGAAAUCCAUGAUUCUAGGAGCUAUAAAAGGCUAAAUCAAAUUUGUAAAUUGUUUGCUAUCUAUGCAGAUUUCUCCAG